CGAACGCUGGUGGUAUGCUUAACACAUGCAAGUCGAACGAACAAACCUGAAGCUUGCUUCAGGCUAGUGAGUGGCAAACGGGUGAGUAACACGUGGGAAUCUACCCGUCAGUACGGAAUAACCCUUGGAAACAAGAGCUAAUACCGUAUAUUCUCUUCGGAGGAAAGAUUUAUCGCUGACGGAUGAGCCCGCGUAAGAUUAGGUAGUUGGUGGGGUAAUGGCCUACCAAGCCGACGAUCUUUAGCUGGUCUGAGAGGAUGAUCAGCCACACUGGGACUGAGACACGGCCCAGACUCCUACGGGAGGCAGCAGUGGGGAAUAUUGGACAAUGGGCGAAAGCCUGAUCCAGCAAUACCACGUGAAUGAUGAAGGCCUUAGGGUUGUAAAGUUCUUUUAGUAGGGAAGAUAAUGACGGUACCUACAGAAAAAGCCCCGGCUAACUCC
rnacentral:rRNA from 1 species